UAUAUUCCACUUUCAUCUUCUUCACAAACCUAAAACCUUUGGUAACCUCUCUUUCAUUUUUCUUCAUCGAUCUACACACUGCCAUGGUACAUAAAAAUAAAUUGAGUUCAAAACCAUCUGGUCGUACACCCACUCUGCCUCCUGCUAUAGCUACGUCGGUGGUAAUGUCCCCGUCAGAGGAAGUCACACGAGUCAUGGAUGAUAAGAACAGACUGCGAUUUGAGGAGGAAUUUGAGUGCUGAUAUUUCUAUUACGAGCAGGGUUUUGAUUUGACUAUAGAGGAGAAACCUUAAAUUUUUCAUUAUAUUUCUCAAUUGAUUACCCAUCGAGGAUAAGGGAAAUUCUGUGAGUACCCCAGUGACAUAAACCAGUAAGUAAUUUGGGAAUCUUACAGUAAUCUCACCGGCCAGACAAAGCGUUUAGUCUUUGUUCGAAUAAGAUGUUCCAUUGGUGGGUAAAACUGAAAAACUAUUUACUAGGUAUCAUUGAGGAGCCCUGUGAACAUACGAAAUUUGUGGAAAACUUAACUGAGGAAGAAUUGAAGCAAGUUGGGCGCGAUCUUUUCCUAGCCAAUCGUUCAUGGACGAAAUCAACUGUUGUCGUUCAAACCAAGAGGCGCUUAGAUCUCCAUCGAGAUAUAAGUCUUAUAAAGAAUCGGAGCCCAAUUACCUUUUCUAUUGUGAGGCGAACAUUGUUAAAGGAAGGACUAGAUCCUAAUGAAGCUAAUGGGGAACCAUAUGCUCCCAUUGCUAUAGCACAACUCCCGCCUAUUGAUAACCGAACCUUGGAGGGCCUCAAAACGGCUAUAUCAUCGAUUCGUGUUAAGCUGGAUUAGGCGAUGGAGUUGCUUAACCAUUCUCUUCAAAAUUAGUCCCAGAUGCACAACGCCCAGGUUCAGUAUUGGGAGUAUGCACAAAAAAGGGAUUUUGCGACCAAGAUGAUGUUCGUGAAGCUAUUCGCAGAGGCUGAAGUGCUAUUUUCAAUCUUCCUAGUGAAGAUAUUGGAAGAUCUGAUGCAACCAGCAAUGUCUGAUGCUAGCCAUAGCUCAGCCAGUACUGAGACUCCUAAUGCCACGCAGUUUUUUUGUCUGAUUCUUUUCCUUUUCAUUAUCACCUUUUUCUUUUUCUUUAUCGUUGAUCUCCUCAUCACCCUCCAUUGAAUUGGUAUCAGUAGCCAUAAGAAGAUGAGUAUGUGAACAGCGAUCAGUUGUAAGUGAUGGCUACAGAUGGAGCUAAUGCUCUAACAGAGCAAGUGGUGGCUCAGUUACUGAAUUUAAAUUCCACCACAGCUGAAUGGGCAACCAUUUUUGUUGACGAACCAAAUUUAGAUGCUUUAACGGUAAUUCAUAAUGUUAUCACUGUUGUUGAACAAUCAGUUAUUACGAGUCAUCCAGAGAGCACUCCCAUCGCACAUACCACUGGAGCUGAGAUAUCCAAACCAAAAGCGCAGCAAAAGCUGGAUGCUACAGAAUCCACAACUCCAGUCUUUAAGGCUGCUUUGACAAAAACCUCAACAGCGUUGGCCAAUCAAAAGAGGAAAAGCUCGGUGUAGGAAAUGUUGAUCGGGUGUUGCAGCAGUCGUCUAAGUUCCAAACAGUUGAGAGAACUUUCUGGAUUAGGAAGGCUGGCUCGAGUAGCCGUCAUGUGGUUGGAUAACACCUAAAAUGUGGAUCUUUUCUAUCGGGCAAAGAAAUUUUCAUCCAAACUAUAAAAGAGGAGUACUUAAGUGUAAAAAGUGAUGAUUUUGAGAGAUCCAAAGUACUAUUUCCAUGUUAAAUCUUUUUUAGCCAUGGAAGCCUAAAUCAUCUGCAGGGAUUAUUGCAGUACAAAGGAAGCUUGUUGUGGAGCUUCAGCAGUCAGCAGAUCACCAUUCAAUGCCUUCUAUUGAAGAGGGAGUGAAACGAAUGUUUAAACUUUUGUUGGAUGUUUAUUAUGAAUUUCUUUAUUUCGUGUUUACUUGGGUACU